CCCCUACUCCCUCCGUUCAGAAUUACUUGUCAUAAAAAUGAAUGUAUCUACAACUAAAAUAUAUCUAGAUACAUUCAUUUCUUGAACGAGUAAUUCCGAACGGAGGAAGUAUCCA
rnacentral:pre_miRNA from 1 species